rnacentral:rRNA from 1 species
GUGGGGAAUAUUGGACAAUGGGCGAAAGCCUGAUCCAGCCAUGCCGCGUGUGUGAAGAAGGUCUUCGGAUUGUAAAGCACUUUAAGUUGGGAGGAAGGGCAGUAAGUUAAUACCUUGCUGUUUUGACGUUACCGACAGAAUAAGCACCGGCUAACUUCGUGCCAGCAGCCGCGGUAAUACGAAGGGUGCAAGCGUUAAUCGGAAUUACUGGGCGUAAAGCGUGCGCAGGCGGUUAUAUAAGACAGAUGUGAAAUCCCCGGGCUCAACCUGGGAACUGCAGUUGGGACUGUAUAGCUAGAGUACGGUAGAGGGGGAUGGAAUUCCGCGUGUAGCAGUGAAAUGCGUAGAUAUUCGGAAGAACACCAGUGGCGAAGGCGACUCACUGGCCCAAUACUGACGCUGAGGCGCGAAAGCGUGGGGAGCAAACAGGAUUAGAAACCCGGGUAGUCC